CAGAGGGUGCGAGCGUUAAUCGGAAUUACUGGGCGUAAAGCGUGCGUAGACGGUUAUUUAAGUCGGAUGUGAAAGCCCCGGGCUCAACCUGGGAAUUGCAUUCGAGACUGAAUAGCUAGGGUACGGUAGAGGGAAGUGGAAUUUCCGGUGUAGCGGUGAAAUGCGUAGAUAUCGGAAGGAACAUCAGUGGCGAAAGCGACUUCCUGGACCAGUACCGACGUUCAGGCACGAAAGCGUGGGGAGCAAACAGGAUUAGAUACCCUGGUAGUCCACGCCAUAAACGAUGAGGACUAGACGUUGGAGGGGUAAGCCUUUCAGUGUCGUAGCUAACGCGCUAAGUCCUCCGCCUGGGGAGUACGGCCGCAAGGUUG
rnacentral:rRNA from 1 species